GAGACAGCAGUCGCCGCGGGAAUACAGAGGGUGCAAGCGUUAAUCGGAAUUACUGGGCGUAAAGCGCGCGUAGGUGGUUUGUUAAGUUGGAUGUGAAAUCCCCGGGCUCAACCUGGGAACUGCAUCCAAAACUGGCAAGCUAGAGUAUGGUAGAGGGUGGUGGAAUUUCCUGUGUAGCGGUGAAAUGCGUAGAUAUAGGAAGGAACACCAGUGGCGAAGGCGACCACCUGGACUGAUACUGACACUGAGGUGCGAAAGCGUGGGGAGCAAACAGGAUUAGAUACCCCCGUAGUCCCUGUCUCUUAUAC
rnacentral:rRNA from 1 species